rnacentral:rRNA from 1 species
GCUUGUCUCAAAGAUUAAGCCAUGCAUGUCUUAGUGUAAAUAACUCUUAUGAAACUGCGAAUGGCUCAUUAAAUCAGUUAUCGUUUAUUUGAUGGUCCCUUACUACAUGGAUAACCGUAGUAAUUCUAGAGCUAAUACAUGCACAAAGGCCCGACUCACGAAGGGCUGUAUUUAUUAGAUGGAAACCAAUUCGGGGUAACCCGGUUUAUGGUGAUUCAUAAUAACUUUCGGAUCGACGCAAGUCGAUGCAUCAUUCAAGUUUCUGCCCUAUCAGUUGUGGAUGGUAGGGUAUUGGCCUACCAUGACUUUAACGGGUAACGGAGAAUUAGGGUUCGAUUCCGGAGAGGGAGCCUGAGAAAUGGCUACCACAUCCAAGGAAGGCAGCAGG